GUCACGGUCAAUCCCGUGGCCGGGUUUGGCGACCCGAACUAUCCAAGGCGCACAAGCGCCGCACCGCAGACAGCUGGCGCUUUUUUU
rnacentral:sRNA from 1 species